UACAGAGGGGGCGAGCGUUAUUCGGAAUUACUGGGCGUAAAGGGCGCGUAGGCGGCCCGCUAAGUCGAACGUGAAAUCCCCAGGCUCAACCUGGGAACUGCGUCCGAUACUGGCAGGCUUGAAUCCGGGAGAGGGAUGUGGAAUUCCAGGUGUAGCGGUGAAAUGCGUAGAUAUCUGGAGGAACACCGGUGGCGAAGGCGGCAUCCUGGACCGGUAUUGACGCUGAGGCGCGAAAGCUAGGGGAGCAAACGGG
rnacentral:rRNA from 1 species